GUUUUGGUCUACCUUUGCAGGUGAGCCUCCGCUUUCAGCAACUCACGCCACCCGCCAGGAUAGCGUUAACAGCAAUAGAAGGGCUGCAGGCCAAAACAGACUAUCUACAUAUACAUGACGACGGACGGAUCAUGGUAGAUCAAACAUUGUCUGCAUUGGGGAGUCUGGCACGUACCAGCGAAGUACACAAGAAGUCCGACAUCCUCUAUAUGGCAGUCAGUGCAGGUCUGGUUAAAAUUAGACGUGGGAAAAACCUUGGCGGUACUUUAGGAAUGGCAAAUAAGGGCAAGGCAUGCAGGAAUGGCAAAGCUGCCUUAGGUUUGGACCGGCCUGUUACCUUUUCUGGUGUCCAGACAUCGGCUCAUGAAAUCGCUC